AUACUUAUCUGACAGAGAAAAUUACCAUGAUUACUAAGGCAGGAGGUGGUUUACUCAGGGUAAGGCUUAUCCAUUGUCGUCUGGAUGUGUUGACCCCUGUGACUUACCCAGUUGUGAGAAACUUAAAUUUCAUAGUCUGUGGUAGUGGGGGACAAACUCUCCCCUA